rnacentral:lncRNA from 1 species
AGCCGCGUGCUGUCCGCCCGCGCUUGAUCCGGCCGCCGGCGCCGGCGACGAACCCCACGUCCCAAAGGGAACACAAAAUCCUCAAUCUUGUACAUUUUUCGCCGGCCGUUCGCCUAGCACCAUCAUCAGUUCAUCACCAUGCCCAAGUGUGUUGAAUCUUGGUGAAGUAUAUAUAACUAGUACGGUUUUAUUAACAGCAGAUAGGGAGGUUAAUUAAGAAGACUAAGAUGAUAAAGAGGAGGAGUUGUUGUUAGAAUGAUCGCCGAGAUGCACAGGAGGAUGAUCAAACAACGGAGGAGGAGAGGAUUUUUAAUCAUUGUUUCUUUUUCCCUUUUUUUUUCUGAAUUGGUUUCAAGAUCUCACAAGUCUUGUGUUCGUUGAGAUGGAUCAGUCAGGUCAGGUCAGUUGUUUUGUAGAUAUUGUCAUCAGUGUUUGAUCUUUGUUCAGAGUCCCUGGUGAGAGAGCAAAAAAAAGAAGGCUUGCUUGAGCUUGAGCAAGCCAUCACCAUACUAGUACUACUAGAUGAUACUGCUACUCUACUACUGCCAUGGUAGAGAAAUCCAUGGCUGUACUUGUAAAGAACAAGUCUUGUACAUAAACAUGAUGAUAUGGAGCUGUACCAAUGUAAUCGGAUUUCAUCAAAAGCCAGAGAUCGAUUUCCUGUUCCUGGGUUCCAUGUUCUGUCACUGAUUUCUUGCCUGCCA